UAGGGAAUCUUCCGCAAUGGGCGAAAGCCUGACGGAGCAACGCCGCGUGAGUGAUGAAGGUCUUCGGAUCGUAAAACUCUGUUAUUAGGGAAGAACAAAUGUGUAAGUAACUAUGCACGUCUUGACGGUACCUAAUCAGAAAGCCACGGCUAACUACGUGCCAGCAGCCGCGGUAAUACGUAGGUGGCAAGCGUUAUCCGGAAUUAUUGGGCGUAAAGCGCGCGUAGGCGGUUUUUUAAGUCUGAUGUGAAAGCCCACGGCUCAACCGUGGAGGGUCAUUGGAAACUGGAAAACUUGAGUGCAGAAGAGGAAAGUGGAAUUCCAUGUGUAGCGGUGAAAUGCGCAGAGAUAUGGAGGAACACCAGUGGCGAAGGCGACUUUCUGGUCUCUAACUGACGCUGAUGUGCGAAAGCGUGGGGAUCAAACAGG
rnacentral:rRNA from 1 species